rnacentral:rRNA from 1 species
UGGGGAAUUUUGCACAAUGGGGGAAACCCUGAUGCAGCGACGCCGCGUGAUUUAGAAGGCCUUCGGGUUGUAAAAAUCUUUUCUAUGGGAAGAAAAUGACAGUACCAUAGGAAUAAGGACCGGCUAAUUACGUGCCAGCAGCCGCGGUAAUACGUAAGGUCCGAGCGUUGUCCGGAAUCAUUGGGCGUAAAGGGUACGUAGGCGGGUAAGCAAGUUAGAAGUGAAAUCCUAUAGCUCAACUAUAGUAAGCUUUUAAAACUGCUCAUCUUGAGGUAUGGAAGGGAAAGUGGAAUUCCUAGUGUAGCGGUGAAAUGCGCAGAUAUUAGGAGGAAUACCGGUGGCGAAGGCGAAUUUCUGGCCAUAACCUGACGCUGAGGUACGAAAGCGUGGGUAGCAAACAGG